GGCAUUGUAUUUCGUUCGUCAGAGGUGAAAUCUUGAUGCCGGGGAAGACAAACUACUGCGAAAGCAUUUGCCAAGGAUGUUUUCAUUGAUCAAGAACGAAGGAAGGGGGAUCGAAAACGAUUAGAUACCGUUGUAGUCUCUUCUGUAAACUAUGCCAAUUGGGGAUCGGUACAGGAUUUUUAAUGACUGUAUCGGCACCCGAAGAGAAAUCUUUAAAUGAGGUUCGGGGGGGAGUAUGGUCGCAAGGCUGAAACUUAAAGGAAUUGACGGAAGGGCACCACCAGGUGUGGAGCCUGCGGCUUAAUUUGACUCAACACGGGGAAACUCACCAGGUCCAGACACAAUAAGGAUUGACAGAUUGAUAGCUCUUUCUUGAUCUUGUGGUUGGUGGUGCAUGGCCGUUCUUAGUUGGUGGAGUGAUUUGUCUGGUUAAUUCCGAUAACGAACGAGACCUUAACCUGCUAAAUAGACCAGCCGGCUUUGGCUAGCUGCUGUCUUCUUAGAGGGACUAUCAGCGUUUAGCUGAUGGAAGUUUGAGGCAAUAACAGGUCUGUGAUGCCCUUAGAUGUUCUGGGCCGCACGCGCGCUACACUGACAGAGCCAGCGAGUCUACCACCUUUGCCGGAAGGCAUGGGUAAUCUUGUGAAACUCUGUCGUGAUGGGGAUAGAACAUUGCAAUUAUUGUUCUUCAACGAGGAAUACCUAGUAAGCGUGAUUCAUCAGAUCGCGUUGAUUACGUCCCUGCCCUUUGUACACACCGCCCGUCGCUACUACCGAUUGAAUGGCUUAGUGAGGCCUCCGGAUUGGCUAUUGGGAGCUCGCGAGAGCACCCGACUGCCGAGAAGUUGUACGAAAUUGGUCAUUUAGAGGAAGUAAAAGUCGUA
rnacentral:rRNA from 1 species